AAGAAAAUAGUCUAAUAUAAGACAUGGGGCUUGAACCCUCAGGAUGGACUUUUAUUUAAGUUCUUUUUUUG
rnacentral:tRNA from 1 species